GCCCUCUCCCCUAGGAGAAUGAUAAAGACAGGGAGCACGUCCCAUGACAGAUUCUCAGCCCCCUUCACCACACUCACGCCCUGCACAGCCUUGGAACCAGCGGGAGGACAGCACCCGGCGGGGUUUCAGUAUUUUACCUUGUGUUACGGCAUCAGCCGACCGCCAUGUUUCACAGAAGCCCGGGUCGCCCGGGCUCCCGUUUACCCGAAAAUAUCGCGAGAACCAAAGCGACAACCAGCGCCGCGAACGUCAGCUGGGAGACAAUGUAGAGUUCUCGCGAUAUGCGCGCUGCCUACGAAGGGCUUUGUGAAUCAGGAGGCGUGGCUAAGGGGAAAGGGGGUGUGGCCAAACAGAACCUUGGGUGAGACACGUUUUACAGGUGUAACCACGUGGCCAAGAAGGAAUGGGUCACCUUCCGACCGCUGCUUGGAGACCACCGAACGGAUCCCAACGCCUCACGUCGUACGUCGUUGCUAAUGGGGUCUUGGGAGCAGGGUUUGUCCCUUGCGACCCUAAUAACGUAUCCCAUCUCCAAUCUGCCUUCUGUUUUUGCCUCCUUAUUUUCUCCCGUCAAGAACAUUUAAACUUCCUUUUCCAGACAUACGUAAUGCUUUUAAUUAUUCGUUCAAGGUUUCUCUUGACUUCCAGAUGAGUGCACACAUGAACUGGAGAGGAGGGGCAGAGAGAAGGGGGAGAGAGAAUCCCAAGCAGGCUCCUUGUCCAGCAUAGCUCCCAUUAUAGGCCUCCAUCUCACAACCCUGAGAAUCAUGACCAGAGCUGAAACAAGAGACAGUCGCUUAACCAACUGAGCCACUCAGUGAUCAUGCUUCUCCUCCAGUGACAGAUGUGAUCCAGCCCCUGUAGGCAGAAAUUCUGGCAAAGACUGUUGGUGCAGCAGGAUGGCAGUUACUGCUGCCCCAGCUCACGAUACCGAUGAGCUUGUACUGUCCAUCGUGGGCACACUGCAGCGGUCCUCCUGAAUCUCCCUGCAACCAGCAAAAAGAGAAGUUCUCCUGGUUUCAUGAUUCAUGGUUGAUGCUAACCUCCACUGCAGAGCUGGUCAGACAGUGUGGAAGACAUUCCCUCAUCUUUGAUUUCUGCUCACGACAGCAGAGGGAAGUAGGCAGUUGGCGGAUGUUACAGAUCUCUGAAUAAGAUCAAAAUCUAUAUUUUCAAAGAGUGGCUAAAAGGUACAUUUAACACAAAGUCAUUUAAUGCUGGCAACAGACUGUGCCUUGCAAAAAGUUUCAAACAUCUACUAAAUAUAAAUGACUAAAUGGUGGUUUUGAGUUACAUGAAAAUAUAUUUUCAAUGCCACUAGAAGUAGAUUCUUUGAGCUGCCUGAUUCAGCUGUGAAUCUGAGCCAUAAUAAAUUAUUUUUAUAGGUCAAAAACAGUUGAAUAUCAUCAAUUUCACAUAGUCAACCAAGCAAAUGAAUGAGCAAUUCCUUUUGAGAACUGCGUUCACUUCAAGUAUCAAAUUAGCAAUGACAGUACAUCAGUUUAGCAAUGUACUUAUUCUUCUCGCUUUUCAUUUCAUUUUGAAACUACCAUAUAUUUAUACCUCUUUAUGGCCAGCAAACCCCAUUCAUAGACACACUGAGAAGAAAACCACACUAAUCAAUGCAUCCUUGAAUUACCAUGCAUGAGGAUGAGCCUGCAGCCCCUCCACAGAUGUUGGUGUUUUUAAUAUCCAGUCCCCAGUAGCUUCGACAAGAUGUACUGCUGAUCAGUGGUAGUGAUACCAUCACUACCUCCUGCACAGUUUUAGAAAAUCUGUCUUCUAGUAGAAAAAGAAUAAAACACAUAACCUAGGCAAAUGCU